rnacentral:rRNA from 1 species
UAGGGAAUCUUCCACAAUGGACGCAAGUCUGAUGGAGCAACGCCGCGUGAGUGAAGAAGGUUUUCGGAUCGUAAAGCUCUGUUGUUGGUGAAGAAGGAUAGAGGCAGUAACUGGUCUUUAAUUGACGGUAAUCAACCAGAAAGUCACGGCUAACUACGUGCCAGCAGCCGCGGUAAUACGUAGGUGGCAAGCGUUGUCCGGAUUUAUUGGGCGUAAAGCGAGCGCAGGCGGAAUGAUAAGUCUGAUGUGAAAGCCCACGGCUCAACCGUGGAACUGCAUCGGAAACUGUCAUUCUUGAGUGCAGAAGUGGAGAGUGGAAUUCCAUGUGUAGCGGUGGAAUGCGUAGAUAUAUGGAAGAACACCAGUGGCGAAGGCGGCUCUCUGGUCUGCAACUGACGCUGAGGCUCGAAAGCAUGGGUAGCGAACAGG